rnacentral:rRNA from 1 species
AACGAACGCUGGUGGCAGGCCUAACACAUGCAAGUCGAACGCUCUAGCAAUAGAGAGUGGCAGACGGGUGAGUAACACGUGGGAAUCUUCCUAUCGGUACGGAAUAGCUCAGGGAAACUUGGGGUAAUACCGCAUACGCCCUUCGGGGGAAAGAUUUAUCGCCGAUAGAUGAGCCCGCGUCUGAUUAGCUAGUUGGUGAGGUAAUGGCUCACCAAGGCGACGAUCAGUAGCUGGUCUGAGAGGAUGACCAGCCACACUGGGACUGAGACACGGCCCAGACUCCUACGGGAGGCAGCAGUGGGGAAUAUUGGACAAUGGGCGCAAGCCUGAUCCAGCCAUGCCGCGUGAGUGACGAAGGUCUUCGGAUUGUAAAGCUCUUUUGGCGGGGACGAUAAUGACGGUACCCGCAGAAUAAGCCCCGGCUAACUUCGUGCCAGCCGCCGCAGUAAGAC